GGAGGGCGCAAGCGUUGUUCGGAAUCAUUGGGCGUAAAGCGCGUGUAGGCGGCUUGGCAAGUCGGAUGUGAAAUCCCGGGGCUCAACCCCGGAACUGCAUUCGAAACUGCCUCGCUAGAGUCCCGGAGAGGAGGGCGGAAUUCCUGGUGUAGAGGUGAAAUUCGUAGAUAUCGGGAGGAACACCAGUGGCGAAGGCGGCCCUCUGGACGGUGACUGACGCUGAGAUGCGAAAGCGUGGGGAGCAAACAGGAUUAGAUACCCUGGUAGUCCACGCUGUAAACGUUGGGUGCUAGGUGUCGCGGGUAUUGACCCCUGCGGUGCCGACGCUAACGCAUUUAGCACCCCGCCUGGGGAGUACGGUCGCAAGGCUA
rnacentral:rRNA from 1 species